CUUCUAAAUUUUUGCAUAAGAAUUGGGAAGGGGGGAGAUCUAAGAGUUACUGUUACUGAUUAUGAGGUCAGGAGGGUGCAGCACCCCUCCUGCCUGCUUUCCUCGCACAUUGAUCUGGAGCCUCCUACCAGGCAGUAGUGCAGCUGCAGUGUCUGAGUUCCACGUCAGCAUAGCCUGACUGCUGGCGUUGCGUUAGCAUAGAGCACAGACCCGGUUUCAGUGAGCAAACAGUUCAGCUGAGUGACUCAGCUGACUUCAGUGAAUGCCUGCUGGAACGGUGCAUGCUGGAAACCAGCCUCACUCCUGCUGAGUUCUGAGGUGACUCUGGAUGAUGAGCAUGUCUGAAGAGAUCAGUCUUUUUCUUGGAAUGCAAUACAAGCGUGUGGAUUUCCCUGCUGAAGUUUUGUGGUCACUGUUCAUCCAUCAACACAAAAUCGAACCUGGAAAUCCAUCACAGAGGCAAAACAUUCCCCAGUCAUGACAGAAGCCAGCCAGUUCUUUACAGGAACCACAGGACCUGCUUGUGCAACCACAAGACAGCAUGAAAUGCAGCUGCAAAAUGCAGCUGUCAGCAGUUGCAGGGAAGAGAUCACUUGUGCAGUGGUGUGCAAGUGCACACAAGCAGUUUUGCAUUUAUUUAUUCAACUUCAAUUAAGGUUACACCGUGUCAUUUGUAUCUCCUUUUCAUAUGGUCUCUGGUUUUCUGGAUUGGAAAUAAAUGCUUUGAGAGGUAAA